AAGAGAGAGCACGUCCAGAACACGCCAGAGACUGUCUCUUCCUGGUUUGCAAACUCAUACCACUAGUAAAGCUCCUUUCUGCUAUUUAGCUAUCCUGGUGGUCUUUUGGGCAACAUGCUUAUCUGGGAAGAGCUGUCUUGUAAUCUCUGUGUCUGCAUCAGACUCUGCCAGCCCUAGAUUGGGAGCUCUGAGAUGACAUAGGCUGCGUCCCACCCCAGCAGCAGCAUGCAAGGUCAAAAGGCUGUGGCAGGAGGCCAGGCAGAUCACAGCGUCCAUGCCUAGAUGCUCCCUGACCCCCAGGAACCAGAAGUGCUGUCUCCUGAAGGCUCUGGAAACCCGGAAUCAGCCUACGAGGCACCAGGGCCACCUUGGAGGGUGGAAAUGAGGACCUCAGGCCCCAGAGGGCAUGCAGGCGAGGUGAAGUUCAGGAGAGCCAGGAAGUGUCCCCCUCUUCCCGGCCUGCUGUAUCCCAGGACACAGGGCGGGAAAGAACAUGGGCUGUGUGGCCUUGGACCAAUUGCUUGCCCUCUCUGGGCCUUCUUAUUGGUGACAGACAGACUGGUGACUUUCUGAGAGGAUCUAUGCAACCUCAGGCUCCUGCACCUGGGUUACAGGGUCUUCUGGAGGGGAAGAGAUGAGCAGCAAGGACAAUAGCAGUGCUCCCUUCCCGGGUCAGUUGCAAGGAUUAAGGAUGAUGUCUGCAAAGUGCUUAGUCAGAGCCGGCAUACGGUAAGUGCUCAAUAAAUGCUGGCUCCCAUUAUUAGUAUCCCUUCCCUCCACGCCCUCAACACAUCCCUUUAUCAUGAUGGAAUAACCAAUUGCCUGGUAACAACAUGUUCACACUUCCACGCUCCCCAUCAACCAUGCUCACCUAUAAGGCAGGCUGCGACCAGCUCCUCUUCAUCUAUUCAUUGCCUGGCCCAUGCUAGGGGCCCAAGAAAUGUCUGCUGCAUCAACGAGUGAUUUUGGGAAAGGUGCUGAGCCCUUCUGUCCCAUGAAGUUCUUGCGAGACAGUGUCUCACCAGCAACCUGGAUCGUGAGAACCACAGCGGGUGGGCCAGAUCUAGAUGGAGAGUGUCCAUUGGGCAGAGCUGCUUCUGUGAAAGGAAAGGAAGUUUUUCAAGAAACCAUGAGGGGGGCCCAAGAAUCCAAGUUUCUAACUCUGGGAUCGGUUUUCUGUCUUUUACCUCGGUUUGCCUCUCCCUAGCUGUGUGGUUUAUGGCAAGUCACUCUGUGCCUCUGUCUCCACGUGUUCAAGGAGGCAGCCGGUCCAAGGGGCCUUCAUAGAAGGGGCUGCCGAGAUGUGAGCCCUGCAUUGGGGGGAUGCCCCACAGAGGUGCUGUCCCCCAUCCCCUUUCCAGGUAUGAGUGUCCCCCAGCUCUGAGUGAAUCAGUAGGAGGUGCUGGACCUGGGCUGAUUCUCACAGUGGGACCUCAACUCUAGCCCCGGGUUGGCUGACAUUAGAGGACUUUGGGUCGUUGUUCUGGCAGCUGCAAGGAAGAGCCAAUGUCAGGGAGGGAAACCCCACAUUCCCUGGCACUAUCCAAACAAAGGUUUGGUUAAAACAAAGAAUUCUCAUGGAGAAGAGUCUGAAGGACCCAAAACACAUAUUUCUGUAGACAUCCCAUCCCAAAAUAAACCCAUGGAUCAAGCCAGACCCAAAUACAAGGAUGCUGUGAACCACAUGGUUGAAUAUUCCACACUUUCCCCAUCCAUUAAACCCCACCCAGGGUGGGAAGGGGAUGGAUUUCCCUCAGUUCUCAGGGCCUAGAAGAGCAGGGCUUUUUUCCCUCAACUGGUUGAGUUUUACUUUGUGAGCACCAUGAUUCCUAAAACCAGUUAUAUUUUCUUUUUCUCUUGGGCCGCCAGGGAACUCACAGCGAAAUCUACCAACCAAAGAGGAUGUCCAUACCUGUCUUUUUCUUUCUUCCUUCAUUUUUUGACUUAAUUUCCUCACUUGAAAAAAAAAAAUAAAACACCUUAUUCAGGGUAUACUUUAUGGGCAGUCUUAAUUUUUUUUAUUAGGAUGUGGGAUGUA
rnacentral:lncRNA from 1 species